rnacentral:rRNA from 1 species
GACAAACGCUGGCGGCGUGCUUAACACAUGCGAGUCGAACGGAAAGGCCCUGCUUUUGUGGGGUGCUCGAGUGGCGAACGGGUGAGUAACACGUGAGUAACCUGCCCUUGACUUUGGGAUAACUUCAGGAAACUGGGGCUAAUACCGGAUAGGAGCUCCUGCUGCAUGGUGGGGGUUGGAAAGUUUCCGCGGUUGGGGAUGGACUCGCGGCUUAUCAGCUUGUUGGUGGGGUAGUGGCUUACCAAGGCUUUGACGGGUAGCCGGCCUGAGAGGGUGACCGGCCACAUUGGGACUGAGAUACGGCCCAGACUCCUACGGGAGGCAGCAGUGGGGAAUAUUGCACAAUGGGCGGAAGCCUGAUGUAGCAACGCCGCGUGCGGGAUGACGGCCUUCGGGUUGUAAACCGCUUUCGCCUGUGACGAAGCGUGAGUGACGGUAAUGGGUAAAGAAGCACCGGCUAACUACGUG